GGAAGCUGCUUCUUUUCCCUUGUUUUCUUCUUCAAGAGAAUAAAAAGAGGGCAAAGUAAGAUAAGAGUUAGAGGAAGCCAGACUGCUAAGGUAUGCAUAGCCAUCGGAAGGACUAAAGAUGAAUGAACUUCAUCUGAAUGAUUCUGCUCUGACUAGAGGUGGCAGAGGAGCUAGAGGCGGAGCCGUUGUGGGGUGUUUUAAGGCAAUUGGGAAAAGGAUGAUUCAAGAAGGUUGUCCUUGUCGUUGACAAAUAUGUAAAUUUCUGUCGAAGCGAACAUGAUUGGACAUUAAAAAAGAUUCUUUCAAUGAUGGUAGGACUAGGGCUGAUAUAAGUAUUGCUUAGAUACGAGAGUAGUGAUAUAUUGAUUAGGAGGGCAAAAUUUAUUCCUUAAUCAACCAAUAAAUUUUAUAGGUAGUGGUCUAUUGGAUU